AUAUCUUUUAUAAUUUUUUUUUGUUUAAUUUGGAUAUAGAUUUAUAGUUAAAAGAGAAGCAUUUGGAAUCGAUUUUAAAUUUUCGGUUCGGAUUCAAAUUUCAAAUUUUUUAUUAAAUUUGAAUUUGGAUGGAAUUUUAAAAUUCGUCGGAUUCGAAUUUUAAAUUUAAUAAUCGAAUUCGUAUUCGAAUUUUAAAAUUCACUUCGAAUUUGGACCAUUGAUGUUCUAUUGUCAUUUCUUGUGUAGGCUACUCGAUCUCUUGAAAAUAUCUUACGUUGUUUUUUUUUUCUAUUCUUAUUUCUCUGCAUGCUACUCUUAUUCAUAGACGGCUGAUUCCUUCUGUAGACCUCUUUUUCUGUACUCUUUUUUUUUUUUUUGCUCGAGAUGACCGACAGAAGACUCUAGCCUUCUAAUUGCUUCAACAGCCCUAAUUUUUUUUAAAUUUUCUUCCUUGCAGGCAGGCAAACCGACUUGUCACAUCCCACCUCUCUCUUUCCAUCCUCUCUCUUGAGCUUUUAUUGCUAUCCCAACCUCUCACUUUCCACCUUCUCUCUCCAUCUUAUCUCUCUCUCUCCUCUCUCCCUCUCUCUCUCUCUCUCUCUACCCCCCGCGACGGCUCCUCGCGCGUCCUUUGAGACCCUGCCCUUCCCGCGGCCUUUCGCACCUCUUCAAGCACCUCGUAAA
rnacentral:lncRNA from 1 species